rnacentral:rRNA from 1 species
ACGAACGCUGGCGGCGUGCUUAACACAUGCAAGUCGAACGGAAAGGCCCUGCUUUUGUGGGGUGCUCGAGUGGCGAACGGGUGAGUAACACGUGAGUAACCUGCCCUUGACUUUGGGAUAACUUCAGGAAACUGGGGCUAAUACCGGAUAGGAGCUCCUGCUGCAUGGUGGGGGGUGGAAAGUUUCGGCGGUUGGGGAUGGACUCGCGGCUUAUCAGCUUGUUGGGGGGGUAGUGGCUUACCAAGGCUUUGACGGGUAGCCGGCCUGAGAGGGUGCCCGGACACAUGGGGAGUGAGAUACGGCCCAGACCCCUGGGGGGGGCAGCAGGGGGAAAUAUUGCAAAAGGGGCGGAAGCGUGAUGCAGAAACGCCGCGUGGGGGAUGAGGGCUUUGGGGUUGUAACCCGCUUUCGCGUGUGACGAAGCGUGAGUGACGGUAAUGGAUAAAGAAGCACCGGAUAACUACG